GCUACUCAGCAGGGUGAGAUCUGAGGAUUGUAGUUUGAAGCCAGCCUGGGCAGGUGAGUCUGUAACAAUCUCAUCUCCAAUACACUCCUCAGAAAAGCAGGAAAUGGCGCUGUGGCUCAAGUGGCAGAGUGCUAGCCUUGAGCAAAAAGAAGCCAGGGACAGUG